rnacentral:rRNA from 1 species
CCUACGGGUGGCUGCAGUGGGGAAUAUUGGACAAUGGGGGCAACCCUGAUCCAGCCAUGCCGCGUGUGUGAAGAAGGCCCUCGGGUUGUAAAGCACUUUCAGUGAGGAAGAACGCCUGGUGGUUAAUACCCAUCAGGAAAGACAUCACUCACAGAAGAAGCACCGGCUAACUCCGUGCCAGCAGCCGCGGUAAUACGGAGGGUGCGAGCGUUAAUCGGAAUUACUGGGCGUAAAGCGCGCGUAGGUGGCCUGAUAAGCCGGUUGUGAAAGCCCCGGGCUCAACCUGGGAACGGCAUCCGGAACUGUCAAGCUAGAGUGCAGGAGAGGAAGGUAGAAUUCCCGGUGUAGCGGUGAAAUGCGUAGAGAUCGGGAGGAAUACCAGUGGCGAAGGCGGCCUUCUGGACUGACACUGACACUGAGGUGCGAAAGCGUGGGUAGCAAACAGGAUUAGAUACCCCAGUAGUC